GGGAAGGGUUGGAUAGAGGAUAUGAUCCUGGUUCAAGGGGAAGGGUUGGGUAGAGGAUAUGAUCCUGGUUUAGGUUUAAAGGGUAGGGUUGGGUAGAAGAUACCAACUACCAACCAGGUUUAUGGUAAGGGUCCUUGAUUAAAAUGAGAAAGUAGGGGAUGGAAACGUAUUCUUCAGGAUACUGGAAGGGGAGUGGUGGUUUGUGAUUUUUGAGUGGUGGGAUGAAUGUUUGUGGUUAUUGUUGAUUUUGUUUGGGAGACAGUCAAGAUGGACAGUACCUUUUUAUAUGGGGGAUACAGGUAGAUCUCCGAUCUGGAUUGAUCAAUACUGCCAUGCCAUCAAUGAGAAUUAAACUUAGUGAAUGUGUAUGCUGUAGGUUAUGUGAGAAUGAGCACCUGUAUAGGUUAAGUAGAGUAGAUCAUUGGAGGGACUUAUUGGCAUAAUAUGACUGUUAGGCCUGUAUCCCCACUGCCCUUAAAACAGCAUCCCAGUAAGCGUUUUGAUGUCUUCUGGACAUCUCUUUUCGGUCCUCAGUCUUUCAAAAAUAUUUUUUAAAUUUCAUCCCCCAGGGAUGUUGAAUUUUGGUCCGGACCAAAUCUGAACCAAUCAUAGACAUCUAUGUUUCACAGGUUUGGACAGCAGUGUACAGUAACUUAGUACAGUAAAGUAUAGUGUACUCUAUUGUACUCUACUGAAUUAAACUAUACUGUACUGUACUGAAUUAACAUGUACUCUACUGAAUUAAACUAUACUGUACUGUACUCUACUGAAUUAACAUGUAUUGUACUGAAUUAAACUAUACUUUACUGUAGUGUACUCUAAUGUACUGAAUUACUGUACUCUACUCUAAUUCAACUCUACUGUAUUGUACUCGACUGAAUAAAACUACCGUACUCUACUGUGCUAAACUGUGCCGUACUGUACUGUGAUGUUCAAACUUGUGAAACAGCCUAGACGUCUAUGAUUCGUUCAGAUUUGGAUCUGGUCCGCACCGGCCAAAUUUGUACUUGUUUGGGGGCGGAGCUCAUUAGAAUAAUAUCCAGAAUGCUUUGCAAGUGUUUUUGUUUUUACAUUUACAUUUUGGUCAUUCAGCAGACGCUCUUAUCCAGAGGAACUUACUGCAUGUGAUAGAUAAAUAUUUUGUUGCGAUCUACAAUUGGUUCCUCUUUCCUAUUAAAACCUGUCUAAGCCAGAGGGUGGGGGUUCUACUAAGGAUCAUUUGGCUGUUUGAUUUUUGAAUUUUAAGACCCCUUGAAGAAUAAAAAAAAAAACAGAAGAAAAAUAUGAUUGGAUGAAUUUUUUGGGGGACCUUACUGCUAUUAGCAUAUUCAAAUGCAUCGAAUAAUAGAUUCACUACACGGAACAACAGAUCAAAAGGAAGUUUGUUCUGAAGUGUCUGUCCAAUAUCUGAGAGAUUUAUGAAAGAUCAGGAUUUUUUACAUGUAUUUAACCCCUUAUUCUUGUCACUAAACAGUCUCCAUACCUCCGUUCGUUUCUUUCAACUGGUACCAUGGGACCUUCAGACAAGUCUUGUGAUAACUGUAAUAUAAUGCUUACUUAUUAUAAUUGAGAAUGUAUAUCAGUUGAAAUUUGGCCAUGGAAUCAAUGAUCGAAAAAAUAAGUAUUUUCAAAUGCACCUGAUUUCAACGUCCAGAAAAUGGGUUAUUUUCAAUGUCCGGAAGAUCCAUAUUUUCAUCACCUAAAAUGUACCUGAUGUCAAUGUCUGAAAAAUAGUUGUGAAAUAUGUAUUUUCAAUGGCCUUUUGCUUAUUGGGAUAUGGUUGUCCUCUUUAAUGUGAGUUCGAUAGGUUUAUAGAAGUUCGCAUCCUUCCUCUUGAUCUGAUUUAUGUUGAUUUAUGCAUUACCUGUCCACCCCUGCAGUGGCAGACUGUAACCAGCAGGUGGCGACCAAGUUCAGGAACUCUGGAAUUAGAACUGUCACUUUUUUUUCCUACUCUUUCAAACUGUUUUACCUGCAGGCUGCAUGCUCGGUUGGAAAUAACACAGUUCAAUAUUUAGAAACACUGCACACUCCUUUUCAACUGGUCUCUUCUGCCUGAAAUUACCAGUACAAGUAUACAGCACUAACACUAGCUCAUUAUUAUUAUUAUGUUGGGUGCUGUGGGUAGUAAUGGUCAGGACUGAGUGUUGCCCUGGUGCCAGUCAGUGUGACUGGGAUGAGUGAGUUAGUGUUGGGUGUCCUCCUGCAUUAUCUUGGACCAGGUUUAGUUUUCACUUGGGGAACUUCCUGCUAUCUGUUUACACAGUGGUGAUGGCAGGGAGCCCACUCAUGUUACACUAGAGACCAGGUGGACAGAAGGGGGGGAGAGAGAGCGAGACGAGAGAGGGGAAGACUAGAGUGAGAGAACAAUAGAGAAAGGAAGUCAAGAGGCACAGAAUCCUAGAGCAGAGCCAGAGAUGAGAGGGAGCAGCCGCAGCCCAGAUGACAUCUCCAUACCAGGGUUUGUUCCUGGCACCAGAGAGGUUGGAUGGAAACCUGUGGAAUUGCAGACUAGAGCAGCAGACUUUAAGCAGGGGAUUGGCUGUAAAGCUGCUGUGUGCCUUUCGGCUGUUCUGUCAGCUGUGACUGUGUGAUGUGGUGUCCAGGACUAGAGCCUGGGACCGAGGCCAAGUCUGACUUCUGACUGGCCAUUGGCCCAGAGUGGCAGGUGGAACAGGGGCUGUAGCCAGUAGCCAGACAGGUGACAGGAGAGAGAGGCCAGGAACAUCAGAACACUCCAUGGAGCAGAGUUGAGUCAUAGCAGAGUCAUUCUAGUGACUUGGGCAAUGCAUCAUAUUUCAUUAAGUUCUACAUAAAUUAUUUACUAUACAUGGCCUAUAUUUUUAGCAGGAACAUUGUGAACAAAUUAACAGCAUAUGUAGUUAGCCCCCUCCCUAUAGUUACAGUAGAGAUACCAUCUUCUGUUUUAGAUUCAGUCGAAACAUUCUCUUCUCUGACUUAUUCUGAUGGUUCAGUUCAUUGGGUAUGAUUACUGUCUGAAAUAUGAAGGGUUGGGAAUAUAGAAACAUCAAGCAUGUGUGAUGUUUUGAGGUUUGAGUCGGGCACAUCCUCGGCUACCUCGGCUAGACUCGUUCAUGAGGACCCGUCGUCUGUUUUAUGCGGAGGAUCUCAGCACCUCUUUAGGCAGUUUGAUGGAAGAGAAUCAAGUGUCUCACUACAGUGUGUGUGGUGACUUACACCCCUAUUCAUUUAAUUAUAAUAUUUUAUUGGGUAGGAGUGCUGAGCUGCCACCUCUCUGGCAUCCGUCAGAAGGUACCCAGGAUGCACCCUGUCCCCCUCCCUCUCUCUGUCUGCCUUGGAAUAUAUUGAUGUCUCUGGUUUGAUCUCCAAACAUUUUGGUUAGCCCUGCAUUCCAUGCUCUCUGUGACCUCCACUGUGAUGAGAAACAGACGGACGGUCAACUAGAAGACUGGAUUUAAGUCUAUUAUGUAAAACGCCUGAUGCCUCUGAAAGGAAGAUGAAGUAGUGUAGCUAAUGUUGUAGUGUCAGACACUAGCUUUGAGUCUCUGAGAAUGUAAAGUCCAAAUCUCUGAGUAAACCACUACUGAAACAUGUUUCCAUGUGCCAUCUGCUGUAGUAGAAUGGCCCCUUUAUUCCAAUGGACUUGUUGACCUCAGUUCUUUGAUCUAGUCGACAGAGACACACGCUACUCCUGUCUCUCAGUGGGGUAUCAAUCAUUCUGCAUCAUAGCCUUUUGAACCCAGUUCAGUCUGUGUGGGGGGCUGUGUUGGGGGACUGGGCACAACAACCCAAAACACACACAGUCACGGAACACAGAUUACAACUGAGGAGAAACAAAGAGGAGAGGAGGAGAGCGUUGCACACUAACCAACUGUUGGAUCUCUGAGAGCCUCGCACGCUAACCAACUGUUGGAUCUCUGAGAGCGUCGCACGCUAACCAACUGUUGGAUCUCUGAGAGCG
ensembl:lncRNA